UUUUCCGGUUGAUCCCGCCGGACCCUACUGCUAUCGGGGGAGGACUAAGACAUGCAAGUCGCGCGUCUCUAAGCUAUGGUGGAGACGCGGCAUACGGCUCAGUAACACGUGGCUAACCUACCCUUGAGACGGAGAAAACCCCGGGAAACUGGGGCUAAUCCCCGAUAAGAGAAGACCCCUGGAAUGGGUCUCCUCUCAAAGGGCGUCUAGACCAUGCUUUUAGACGUUGCUCAAGGAUGGGGCCGCGGCCGAUCAGGUUGUUGGUGAGGCAACGGCUCACCAAGCCUUUAACCGGUACGGGCCGUGAGAGCGGGAGCCCGGAGAUGGGCACUGAGACAAGGGCCCAGGCCCUACGGGGCGCAGCAGUUGCGAAAACUCUGCAAUGCACGAAAGUGUGACAGGGCUACCCCGAGUGCCGUCCGCUGAGGGCGGCUUUUCCCUGGUGUAAGGAGCCGGGGGAAUAAGGAGAGGGCAAGUCUGGUGUCAGCCGCCGCGGUAAUACCAGCUCUCCGAGUGGUAGGGAUAAUUAUUGGGCUUAAAGCGUCCGUAGCCGGCCUGGCAAGUCUUCCGUUAAAUCCAACGAUUCAAUCGUUGGACUGCGGGAUAUACUGUCGGGCUAGGGGACGGGAGAGGCCGACGGUAUUCUCGGGGUAGGGGUAAAAUCCUAUAAUCCCGGGAAGACCACCAGUGGCGAAGGCGGUCGGCUAGAACGCGCUCGACGGUGAGGGACGAAAGCUGGGGGAGCGAACCGGAUUAGAUACCCGGGUAGUCCCAGCUGUAAACGAUGCGGGCUAGGUGUUGGGGCGGCUACGAGCCGCUUCAGUGCCGCAGGGAAACCAUUAAGCCCGCCGCCUGGGGAGUACGGCCGCAAGGCUGAAACUUAAAGGAAUUGGCGGGGGAGCACCACAAGGCGUGAAGCUUGCGGUUCAAUUGGAUUCAACGCCGGGAAUCACUAGU
rnacentral:rRNA from 1 species